AGAGUUUGAUCCUGGCUCAGAACGUACGCUGGCGGCACGCCUAACACAUGCAAGUCGAACGAAGUAGCAAUACUUAGUGGCAGACGGGUGAGUAACAUGUAGGUAUCUGCCCUUUGGCCUGGAAUAACACGAGGAAACUUGUGCUAAUACCGGAUAAGUCUUUACGGAGAAAGCUUUAUGCACCAUUGGAUGAGCCUGCACUUGAUUAGUUUGUUGGUGGGGUAAUGGCCUACCAAGACUGUGAUCAAUAGCUGAUUUGAGAGGAUGAUCAGCCACAUUGGGACUGAGACACGGCCCAAACUCCUACGGGAGGCAGCAGUGGGGAAUCUUGCACAAUGGAGGAAACUCUGAUGCAGCGAAGCCGCGUGAGUGAAGAAGGCCUUUGGGUUGUAAAGCUCUUUCGUCGGGGAAGAAAAUGACUGUACCCGAAUAAGAAGGUCCGGCUAACUUCGUGCCAGCAGCCGCGGUAAUACGAAGGGACCUAGCGUAGUUCGGAAUUACUGGGCUUAAAGAGUUCGUAGGUGGUUGAAAAAGUUGGUGGUGAAAUCCCAGAGCUUAACUCUGGAACUGCCAUCAAAACUUUUCAGCUAGAGUAUGAUAGAGGAAAGCAGAAUUUCUAGUGUAGAGGUGAAAUUCGUAGAUAUUAGAAAGAAUACCAAUUGCGAAGGCAGCUUUCUGGAUCAUUACUGACACUGAGGAACGAAAGCAUGGGUAGCGAAGAGGAUUAGAUACCCUCGUAGUCCAUGCCGUANACGAUGUGUGUUAGACGUUGGAAAUUUAUUUU
rnacentral:rRNA from 1 species